UACGUAGGGUCCGAGCGUUGUCCGGAAUUAUUGGGCGUAAAGGGCUCGUAGGCGGUUCGUCACGUCGGGAGUGAAAACUCGGAGCUUAACUCCGAGCCUGCUUCCGAUACGGGCAGACUAGAGGUAGGCAGGGGAGAGCGGAACUCCUGGUGUAGCGGUGGAAUGCGCAGAUAUCAGGAAGAACACCGGUGGCGAAGGCGGCUCUCUGGGACGGUACUGACGCUGAGACGCGAAAGCGUGGGGAGCGAACAGG
rnacentral:rRNA from 1 species